AACGAACGCUGGCGGCAGGCUUAACACAUGCAAGUCGAGCGCCCCGCAAGGGGAGCGGCAGACGGGUGAGUAACGCGUGGGAAUCUAUCCAUCUCUACGGAAUAACGCAUGGAAACGUGUGCUAAUACCGUAUACGUCCUUCGGGAGAAAGAUUUAUCGGAGAUGGAUGAGCCCGCGUUGGAUUAGCUAGUUGGUGGGGUAAAGGCCUACCAAGGCGACGAUCCAUAGCUGGUCUGAGAGGAUGAUCAGCCACACUGGGACUGAGACACGGCCCAGACUCCUACGGGAGGCAGCAGUGGGGAAUAUUGGACAAUGGGCGCAAGCCUGAUUCAGCCAUGCCGCGUGAGUGAUGAAGGCCCUAGGGUUGUAAAGCUCUUUCACCGGUGAAGAUAAUGACGGUAACCGGAGAAGAAGCCCCGGCUAACUUCGUGCCAGCCGCCGCGGUAACAC
rnacentral:rRNA from 1 species